rnacentral:siRNA from 1 species
AGGAUCCAGGGGUACAGGGGCA